CGUGCGAGGGCUGCAACAGGGCAAAGGAGGAUGGGGAGAGGCUCCUUUCCACAGCUGAGCAGCACAGAAACAUUUCUGCAAGCUUGGAGCAAAGGGAUGUUACCUGGGAGGAAGCACUGAGCACUUCUGGGCAGGCAAGGAUCCAUUGCAAAGCACAUCCAGAAAAGGAAGACCUUUAUUCUUUCUUACUCAUGAGAAAUAUCUGUCAAGUCAGUGAGUGGUUUGAUUGAAUGAGAGCAGUGAAACUGCUUUCUAUGGUGGAAGAUUUUUAAAAAGAGAGGAACACGGAGUCCCUUAGGCAUUUACAGUGUUUGGAAAUGACUGUCUUACCUGGAACUCUGGGUCACUUCUCAGCUCAGGUUCACAGGGGAAUCCCUAAGUCUGGUGACUUACCCAUCCCACUAGAUGUCCAUUGAAGGAUCCAAGAAACAUCCAGUAAAUGACUUUCCAUGCACAAUGAACUUACUCAGGACCCUGGGUUUUUGGGGACUCAUAAACAGCUUAGAGUCUGACAGCAAUGCAACAAGAGGCAAAAAUAUGACUGACAACAUAUGGCUGAAAAGUAGGGUCAUAGUGGCUGUACAACAUAACAGAACAGUGAGACUGCAAAGCAAAAGCAAUUAGCUAACAAGUCAUGCUAAUGUGGAAUUAUUUAUGGAGACAUCCUGGAAUUGUUACUGUGUCAUCCAUUAGGAAGGCACAGGUACAUCUGCCUGAGUGCUGGACUGUGCUGUGCAGGACACGUCUCUACACUGAGGCACAUCCUAACCAGAGGAGUGGAGGGGAAUGCUUUUGUUUUAGAGAGGGACAGAAGGAACACCCUCAACAAUAAAUCUGAGACCCCAAAUACCCUGCUCUUCACAUAAGAUCUUCUGCUGAAGACUGACCCAGCCAAGCUGGAACACCCAAUGUAAAGCUGUCAUCACCCUGUAUUUCCACACUCACUGAACUUACUUUCUUUGUUCUCUGUAACAUGCGACUAGAAUUAUAUCAGCCACAACAACAAUCUUUUCCUUUCAUCAGCUCUGUGGCAGCAGCUCUGCCUCCCUUCUGUGCUGUUACUAGCAGGGUAGCUCCAAAUAAUUGUUUCUUUUCCACACACAACAAAGGCCUUUACAGCUUCAGCAGGGCCCAUGAAAUGGGAAGCAACAAACAGAAAUUCCAGUUGCUGAAGUUUAUCAUUGGUGCCUCUUAUUCUGUAAAAUUUUUAAGUACCACACUUUUACUAAAACUGCUGUGAAUAUUCAUUCAGUGCUCACGGGUGAACCCAGUUCACCAGACCCCUGUAUUAACACCACAGUUUUAACUCACUCACGGAACUUAAAAACAUUCCCAGCAGGACCCUUUGAACAGAUGUAAUUUAUAUAAUAGUUUUUUAAAAUGAAGCUUUAUUUAUUCCUACCUUGAAGGUACAAGGCCUUGAGGAAAAUGUGUUAACAUGGUGAAAGGCCAAGCUUAACCACUCCAUGCUCCAGGAAGGGACAGCUGUCACUGAGCUGGGAAAAGCCAGGCUGUCCCACUCACAAAAUGUUGUCUUUGUUCUCUACAUGAAUCAAUUUGUAUUUGCUGAUAACCCACUUCUUUCCAAGGAUUUCAGGUUUAGGAUUCCCUUUGAUGCCAGAUUCACUGCUGGAAACAGUAAACCACUCUAACUUUGAUGGAGCUACAAUUAUUCCCUCUAGUCAGCUAUUUGAUUGUUUCUGCUAAAAAUAUUAUGUCACCAUUUCCUGUUAGGUAGGCUUGCCCUCCAUCCUUUCUGAUUUAAACCAUGCCAGUCAAAAGUUACAAACCAGAUAGCCCAAGAGGCAUGUAAUGUUUUCAUAUAAAAUAUGCACAAAUUCAUCCGUCCCUAUAACAUGUAUGACUAAAAUGAUACCAGUGACCCCAGCAAUCAUUUUUCCUUUCAUCACACCCCUGUCCAGCAGCUCUGCUUCCCACCUGUGCUGCCACCAGCAGUGCAGCCCUGGUGCCUCUGACAGAGCCACGGGAGCACAGACACCACCACGCCCAGGGCUGGAGGUGCCUUGAUCUGAACACGUGUUGGUGCCAACACUUGAGAGGGUUUCAGCCUGCCUGGAGCACAGGAGUGUUACAUCAGGCAGCUCAGGCUGGUAAUGGUAACCUAAGCUACAGCAGCAGGGAGGCGUCGGUGCUGUGCUUUGCUCGGAGCAGCGCUCAGAGCUGUGACACUGUCUGACACUGACUGAUUAAGAUCCAGGUACUGUGGUGCUGUCAGGAAAGAAGAAAGAGGACUUGCCGUGCUGUUGUUGCUCAUGGAUCUCCAGCAGGGCAGCAGCCAGACACCGGUGCACAGCAGCAUCGUGCUCUUCCACCUCUUCAGAGAAUUACUUUCCAGUCAGCCUGAGGAGAUGAAGAACACACCUCGUUUUUAACACAGCCUGGCCCUCCACACAGACUCCAAAGUCUGUGUAUCACAGGUGAUCCAGUCCUCAUGACUGGGGAGGGGACUUUGAGAGGAGGUGAGGGAGAUGUGAGAAGAACAAAAAUAUGAACUCAAUAAUGAGCCUUACCAGGAAACCAUUAGGAAGGCUGCUCCUGACUGCAGCAAACAAGACCAGGUCCUAACAAGGAAAGAAACAGAGCUACCUAGUUAUGCUGCAGAUAUAAUCUUCCUUUUCUCCACGGCUUGUACUUGGCAUCUGUAAAAAGCAGACACUCAAAUUUCUCCCUCAUCCCAAUUUUCUGGGUGUUUCCAAAGCCCAGACUACACUACUAGUGGGAAUGGAGAAAAGGAUUGUUUUUCCAGGCAGCCUAAGACGUGGGACUAGAAUUUUAGUUUUAUUUCGUUUAAUACCCAGGGCUUUCCCCAGUACAAAACUGCAGGCUUUCCCAAUGUACCUUUUCAUCCAAUCUCAUAGAUGAUGAAAUAAUAAUUUCCCUUCUGUCCGAGGGUGAUGUGAAACCCUCAAAAAGACUAAUAUACAUAAUGUCCAGACUUGGGGACACUCUGGAGCUCAGGGUUAUAUUUUUUGCCUUUUGGAAUCACUUCUCCAUACAGCUCAUGCAGGUAGGAAGGCAAGCAGGAAUACAGAAAGUCUCAGAGAAAUCUCUGCAGACCUGACAUUCUCUUACUCAUUUGUGUGCCAAACCAGGCAUGUUUCUGUCACCUUUGUGGUGAUAGAAUUGUCCUUGUCCUCCACAAAGCAGAGGAAACUGGAAAGAUUCUGAUCUUCCUUCCACCACAAAGGGGGCAACUUGGCUUCCAGGAACCUCUAUUCUCUACAACAACCAGGCUCUUUUCAUCUUGGCUUUCUUAAUAAAUAUUUAGAGGGCAGUUCACGUUUUCCCUUCUCCUCUAUGUAACAGAGCUGAUUAUUGCUAAGGUCAGGUGGCUCCAUGAGCUAAUUAAUAUUCACAGGUAGCAGUAAGAAAUAAGUGCAAACCUCAUCUCUCUCCUCAGCUUUAAUUACAAUAUCAGUGCUAUCAAAUUCCAUGUGGAUACACCUCCUGCAUCAGCUCCAAACAAUUUCAGAUGUGUAUACAGGAAUUCACAGCAUCUUUAACUCAUGAUCUUCUGUCAUUACCAUAUAAUUACUCUAAUGCAUCUUUACUGUGCAACACCCACCAGAACUAACAACCACGAGUAAUGGCAGAAUAGAGACAUCAGAGUGGAAUUUCAGCUCACAGGGACCUCGAGCAUUCCUUCCAGUCCCAUUAUUCAACAUUUCUGAGCAACCUGACUCUUACCUGCCUUCCUUCCUUCUCUAAAUUUACUUUAUGAAACAUUCAUGUCAUUCUAGCACUGAGAAGCCCCAGGUGGCACUGAAAUCCCAGUGGGAAUGUAGCACAAGUCAAUGAAGUGGCAAUAAAUUGUUUCACCUUGAUCAGCUCUCUGGAUACAGGAGAGGAAUAGAGAAAGGUGAGUCAGGGAAGAGCAGCUGCAUUCUGCACCUUGCUGUGCUAUGGGUGAGGAUCUGGGCCCUGUGCAGACAUGGGAAAAGAGGUUUGGAGAAAUUUGACAGAAAAUGCAAUACUGACUACUUAAGUUAGCAAAUAUCCCUCAAUUAAGUGCUGGUGGAGGUCAGAUAUAAAAGUCAGUUAGAGAGAACUGGGCAAGCUUCAAAGGGUCUUUGUGGCAAAAAGCUGAAGGAUGAGCCAGUGCAAUAACCUGUGAAAUGACAAGCCAUGGAGAUGAUUUUAGCCUUUCAUUUCUACUACUAUAGAAAAUGAAGAACAAAGUACACAUUAUAAAGACAUAAAAUGGGAUGAAUUUUUGAACCUGUGUAAGGAUUUUUAAAGAAUAACUAGCUGCAGACAUAUCUCACAAUGCCCUAUGCAAAGUAUUCCUGUGCCUUUGCAGAGAUUUACAAAACUCUCUCAGUAUAUCAAUUCCAUCAGUCCUUUUACUUUUCUUAAAUGGCAAUCAUUUCAAACUGAAUAAUAGCAUCUGUAUUUGUUGCAUUUGGCUUUCUAUGUGUUAACAGUCACUGUGAUUAAAACAUGUUAUCAAGACUUGAAAAAGACAGUUAAACAGGAAUGGCAUUACAUUGUCACCUAUCCAAAUUGUAAUUGGUAUUUAAUUGUAGCUCUUCAAGCAAACACAAAAAGACAAACAACAAAGAAACCUCUGCUCUGAUUGAAAGCAAUUAAGAGAGGAAAACCCAAGAGAGCUAAUAUAUGAAGUUUCAGGGAGGAAGCAUUCCUUCCCUGAAAUGCAAAGGCCCUUCUUGAUUCUGAGAGAGGUAAAGCAUGGGAAUAGUGCAGCUGUUUCUGGGAAGUUGCCUUUUGAGUGGAAAUGGAAAUUAAAAGCUGCCAGGCUGAUUUUUAUCUCUCUUGUCAAAUUUAUAUUGUAUAUGUUUGCUGAUGCUCUAUAAUAUCCCAGUUAGCUCUGUUGUUUGCACAUUAACUGUUUUGUGUCCCAGAUGCUCAUACUAGAAUCAUAAAUAUUUUGUGAAAGAUAUAACCAUCACUUUCAACAGCAUAAACUAAUUUUUCUUUCUAAACAGCUUUCCCUCUGUUCUUGCAGAAGACUCAAAUAAUCCCUGAAGUACUUUAGGAUGGGCUUUUUCACCAUCAGCUGGGAGGGAUAUGCAGGAGGCUGUUCCUGAGCAAAAGGACUUCCACAAAGUGAGUUUGCCUUUAGGGCUACACUGAUCCCAGCCAUGGAGAGAUGGAGGUGAGGCAGUUUCAGGGGAGCUGAAGUUCCCAGUGCCUGAAUCCAGGCUUGGGUCUCUCCAGGGCUACCUGUGUGACAAUAAGGGUGAUAUGUGCAGUUCAUGCAUGGAACUGAAAAGAGUUCCCAGGCAAUAGGCAGGGUUUGUGGUUUCACAGGGUGUCAUCUCUAAUUAUCAGGAAGGUUCCUUGGUUCUGUUUCAGAAUGGAAAAGGAAAAUAUUUUUAUCUGCUUUAACAUCACACUGGCACUGGCAGAUGAUUCAUGGGCUCUGGAGAGCACAGACAUUACCAGCUCAGCACAUUUGUGUACCAAUCACCAUUUGUCAUAUGUGAGUACUUCCCACAGUCCUAAAAAGAGAUUUGUUUUCUGUAUUAUUUGCAGGAAAUGUAACAAACUCCACACUGAACAGCAAAAUAAAAACAGCACUUGAUUGUUUUAUCGAAUAGUUGCCUAUUUACUUGGCAAAACUUCACUUUAGGACUUUUUUUAUGCAGUCUAAUAAAAGGACCCCCACAGCUGUCUUCUCUGUGGAGAAAAGCUGUCGACAUCCAGUAUAAUUUUCUGCAUAUUGAGUGAAGUACUUGAAAGUCCCAGAUCCAUUUUAAUAUGUGAGCUGCUCUCCCAUUUGUAUGCAGCUGGAGAGAGUAGUUUUAUCCUCAUUUUAAAAAGCCAUAUGAUAGAUUUCUUUCUUUAAACAAAUACUGUCUGAAACUUUUCUUUCUUCUCGCUCUUUCCCCCAGCAUACACCUUUCCUCUCUUGUUAGGCACCAGUGUGCUGAAAUCACUGCACAGUGCUGACAUCUCACUCGUUAUACAUAAAUCUAUGCCAGCACCAUUUCUUUUUUGAUGUCUCUGUGCAUGAUCUGCUGGAAUAAUUCCCAGAUUAACUGUUUUUUAAUAUAAUUUUGGCAAAAGAGUUGGUGAGGAAAUUCCAUUGCACUGCCUUGAAUACGGUCUUCACUAUCCUUUUCUGAAUUUUCUGAUCCUGGAUAUUGACAGCUGCCAAUCCUUCCAACCCAGCCCUGAGCUCUCUCCAAUGCUGAUCCUGCAAGCACUUUGCCACACAGCACGAGGCAGCAGUGCUCAGUCCUUGCACAGCUAUUAACUCUGAUGCAAUGAAAUGUUGUUGUUAUGGGUUGCAGGGAGCAUGUUUAACAUCCACAGCUAUUUUUAAUGAUUCUGUCAAGAGGAAGGAUUAUAGCUCUCAAAGCACAGGGAGGUUUUGUGUAACAGUCACAAAGCUUUGAACUCUGCACACACCAUGACUGAACAUACUGUUCCUGUGCUUCAACACAGCCUGACACUGCAAAAGUCAUGGCUGAAAAACAAGAUAUCUGAAGGUUAUAGAACAUUUAAUGGCUCUAGUGUAAACAAUACAGCACCAAGAACUAAGUGCCAAACAUUACCCACCUCCCAGUCUGGAUAUGCCACAUCUCACAGGCUGAGAAUGACUCACUCAAACAAGCUCAGAUGGCAAAUCCCCAGGCAGGCAGGCUUGCAGUGAUGCUACCAAUUCAGCAUGGAGCAUGUGGUCCAAGGAGCAGGCACUGAGUAAUUCUCCAGACAGUUCUUGCAGAUGCUUUCACCCAAAAUUCAAGAUUUCUGUUCUACAUUUUUGUUUUGAAUGAAAGUAAAGUAGUAGAUUCUCAAAUUUUUCUGUGGAAUUAAAAUUCUGAAAAUCUUUCAUUGAAAAAAAGAAAUUGUUUUAUUGCUGAUAAUUUUGUCUGAACAAAAAGGAAAUGUCUGAAAUGGUAAAAAUCUUGGAUGAUCCUGGAAACAAGAACCCUUAUGAAGGCAGCAGAACUGAGAGCCUCAGGGUUCUUGGGAUUGCUUGUUCUCACCUACCAACAGAGUAGGAACCUCAGAAAUAUGGGCAUUCACUUUAACCAGAAAACUUGGAAUUUACAGUGACCACUGCUGGAGGAGAAAAAGAGUGAACCACUACCGGGGAAGCUUUCCUAGGGCUACCAGGUUUCCACCUCCACUGGCUGGGUAUUGGGGUAGGAAUUAAGGUAUCCAAAUUUUUGAAGAAAUUAGUCAAAGCAUCAGGAGCCCCAACUUGGAUCAGGCAUCUCAGAAAUUCAAGGUUUCCUACUCUACCAAAGAUACCUGGAAGAUAUGUGAGCUCCUAGCUGGGCUUCAGGAAGCCUGCUCAGUGUCUUGGAGCUGGAGGAAGGCCAUACAAAAUCCAACAUAAAAACUCAGGGACCCACAGAAUUUCCUGUGAUAUAUUUUUGAUCUUAGUAACUCAGCAUUUUCUAAUGAAGUAGUGCUUACUGGAAAGUUUCUGCCUAUUUCCAUUUGGGAGGACAUUAUUCAGAUGGACAUGACACACUUUGGAUGACAUGAGAGAAUUAAGUUUGGUCUUCUUGCCAAAUUACAUCCUGGCAGAUAAUUUCUUACUUAUUUAAAUCCACCUCAUAUUAACAGAGCACAAUUUUUUAGCUCACAUUCUGUCUUGCAGCUCUUGUACUGUUAAGUAUUAUGCACAUUUCAUCCCUUGUGCAGCUGCUUUUCACCAAAUUUAGUCCCAGGUUAGAGUAUGGGAUCUGUAUUUGGGACUGGGAGCUCUGGGGGUCUCUAAAAUCACCUGUGCUACUGCAAGAACAUCAGUGCCAUAUGAAGGAUCAUUUUUAGUACUGGAGAAAUUUUUGCAGAGCAGGAUAUGGUCCCACACAGAAUGGAACCAGGCUGAUGUCAAAUUAUUUUAUGCCAUUACGGCACAUGACUGCAUUGCAGAGUGGCUCUUGUAUUUUUCUAUCUCCUCAGGAACAUUUCUGUCCUACAAUGGGGAUCCUGCACUGAUUCCAGUGAAGACCCAGGCCCCUAUUGUGCUAGGCACUAUAGCAACAGACAGUAAAAGGCAGUCCUUGUUCCUUUCUAUCUAAACAGACAAGACAUUGCCACAGAUUUAUUCUUCCAUUUAUAACAGUUGCAAAACAACUUGGAUGAAGAAUAAAAAAUGCAAUGAAUAAGAUGUGAUGAUCCCAGCUGUGGGAUGGGUCCAUAUGGAGGUGGGAAACCCCAAGCCAGUGAAAGCAUAGAGGGGUGUAAUCCUGAACCAGCUGAAGCAACAUGAGAACUCCUACAGACUCUGCUGGGAGCCAGGAUUUGCCCCUCUGUUCCUGUUUCACCAGGUGCCUGUGUGCAUAGCACAUUCAGAGUUGUAGUGAUAUUUCCAAAUUCCCUGGCACUACAAGCAGAGCCGCAGUAUGGUCCCACUGCUCCCAUCAGGGGGAUGAGCCCGGGCAGAGCCUGGUGCUGUCCCUGUGCCCGUGGUGC